rnacentral:lncRNA from 1 species
UUUAUGCAAGUAACCAACCAUGAUUAUAAAUGGAGUUAGUUACCUUGCAGACAUUGCUUAUCAUCUCUGUAACACUUGGUCUUUUUUUUAUGUCUUCAAAUAUUAAGUCGAUACAGUGUGCUGCACACAGAGUCUAAUAUAUGUUAAACUUCUUCAUCAAUAGCUUGUUUGCUUUCACAAGUGUUGACCCAUUAUCCAUGUCAAGUUGGA